GACAGAGGGUGCAAACGUUGUUCGGAAUUACUGGGCGUAAAGCGCGUGUAGGCGGCUUGGCAAGUCGGAUGUGAAAGCCCUGGGCUCAACCUAGGAAGUGCAUUCGAAACUGCCGAGCUUGAGUUCUGGAGAGGAAGGCGGAAUUCUCGGUGUAGAGGUGAAAUUCGUAGAUAUCGAGAGGAACACCGGUGGCGAAGGCGGCCUUCUGGACAGCAACUGACGCUGAGACGCGAAAGCGUGGGGAGCAAACAGG
rnacentral:rRNA from 1 species